rnacentral:snRNA from 1 species
GUGCUCUCUUGGGCAGCAUACCUGCUCUAUCUGAACGACACAAGGUUAGCAUGGCACAAGGAUGACAUGACAAUUUGAGAGAUAUCCCACAUUUUU